rnacentral:rRNA from 1 species
AUUGAACGCUGGCGGCAGGCCUAACACAUGCAAGUCGAGCGAGCGGCGGACGGGUGAGUAAUGUCUGGGAACCUGCCUGAUGGCGGGGGAUAACUACUGGAAACGGUAGCUAAUACCGCAUACCAUCAGAUGUGCCCAGUUGGGAUUAGCUAGUCGGUGGGGUAACGGCUCACCUAGGCGACGAUCCCUAGCUGGUCUGAGCGGAUGACCAGCCACACUGGAACGGAGACACGGUCCAGACUCCUACGGGAGGCAGCAGUGGGGAAUAUUGCACAAUGGGCGAAAGCCUGAUGCAGCCAUGCCGCGUGAGUGAAGAAGGCCUUCGGGUUGUAAAGCACUGUCAGCGGGGAGGCGUUAUCCGAAGAGGAAGCACCGGCUAACUCCGUGCCAGCAGCCGCGGUAAUUC